UGAGCCUCAAGGAGCCUCUGCGACUCGGUGU
rnacentral:piRNA from 1 species